rnacentral:rRNA from 1 species
GAGAAAGGAGGCCUCUGAUACAAUGCUCUCGCUUGAGGACGAGGGCUAUGUCCUAUCAGCUAGUUGGUGGGGUAACGGCCCACCAAGGCAAUGACGGGUAGCCGACCUGAGAGGGUGACCGGCCACACUGGGACUGAGACACUGCCCAGACUCCUACGGGAGGCUGCAGUCGAGAAUCUUCCGCAAUGGGGGCAACCCUGACGGAGCGACGCCGCGUGCGGUGAGGAAGGCCUUCGGGUUGUAAAACCGCUGUCAGCGGAUAAGAAACUGGCCGGGCGUUGAACAAUCGUCGCUCGGUCUUGACAUAAGGUAGCGGGAGGAAGCCACGGCUAACUAUCGUGCCAGCAGCCGCGGUAAGACGAUAGGGUGGCGACCGUUGUUCGGAAUUACUGGGCAUAAAGCGCACGUAGGCGGCAAUGAUAAGUCAGGUGUGAAAUCCCUCGGCCUAACCGAGGAAUUGCGCUUGAUACUGUCGUUGCUUGAGGGCAGGAGGGGAGCGUGGAAUUCCCGGUGGAGCGGUGAAAUGCGUUGAUAUCAGGAGGAACACCGGCGGCGAAGGCGACUCUCUGGCCUGUUUCUGACGCUGAGGCGCUGAAAGCUAGGGGAGCAAACGGGAUUAGAUACCC